CGGGCUGUGGCGCAGCCUGGUAGCGCACCUGCUUCGGGAGCAGGGGGUCGGAGGUUCGAAUCUCUCAGCCCGA